UUGAUCAUGGCUCAGGAUGAACGCUAGCGGCAGGCUUAACACAUGCAAGUCGAGGGGUAACAGGAGUGCUUGCACUUGCUGACGACCGGCGCACGGGUGCGUAACGCGUAUAGAACUUACCUUUUACAGAGGGAUAGCCUUUAGAAAUGAAGAUUAAUACCUCAUAAUAUUGAGAUUUGGCAUCAGGGCUCAAUUAAAGAUUUAUCGGUAAAAGAUGGCUAUGCGUCCUAUUAGUUAGUUGGUAAGGUAACGGCUUACCAAGACAGCGAUAGGUAGGGGUCCUGAGAGGGAGAUCCCCCACACUGGUACUGAGACACGGACCGGACUCCUACGGGAGGCAGCAGUGAGGAAUAUUGGGCAAUGGAGGCAACUCUGACCCAGCCAUGCCGCGUGCAGGAAGACGGCCCUAUGGGUUGUAAACUGCUUUUAUACAGGAAGAAACUCUGCUACGUGUAGCAGCUUGACGGUACUGUAAGAAUAAGGACCGGCUAACUCCGUGCCAGCAGCCGCGGUAAUACGGAGGGUCCGAGCGUUAUCCGGAAUCAUUGGGUUUAAAGGGUCCGCAGGCGGUCAAUUAAGUCAGAGGUGAAAUCCCAUAGCUUAACUAUGGAACUGCCUUUGAUACUGGUUGACUUGAGUCAUAUGGAAGUAGAUAGAAUGUGUAGUGUAGCGGUGAAAUGCAUAGAUAUUACACAGAAUACCGAUUGCGAAGGCAGUCUACUACGUGUGUACUGACGCUGAGGGACGAAAGCGUGGGGAGCGAACAGGAUUAGAUACCCUGGUAGUCCACGCCGUAAACGAUGGAUACUAGUUGUUGGGCAUUCGCUCAGUGACUAAGCGAAAGUGAUAAGUAUCCCACCUGGGGAGUACGGUCGCAAGACUGAAACUCAAAGGAAUUGACGGGGGCCCGCACAAGCGGUGGAGCAUGUGGUUUAAUUCGAUGAUACGCGAGGAACCUUACCAGGGCUUAAAUGUAGUCUGACAGCUUUAGAGAUAGAGUUUUCUUCGGACAGACUACAAGGUGCUGCAUGGUUGUCGUCAGCUCGUGCCGUGAGGUGUCAGGUUAAGUCCUAUAACGAGCGCAACCCCUGUCAUUAGUUGCCAGCAUGUAAAGAUGGGGACUCUAAUGAGACUGCCUACGCAAGUAGUGAGGAAGGUGGGGAUGACGUCAAAUCAUCACGGCCCUUACGUCCUGGGCCACACACGUGCUACAAUGGUAUGGACAAUGAGCAGCCAUCUGGCAACAGAGAGCAAAUCUAUAAACCAUAUCACAGUUCGGAUCGGAGUCUGCAACUCGACUUCGUGAAGCUGGAAUCGCUAGUAAUCGGAUAUCAGCCAUGAUCCGGUGAAUACGUUCCCGGGCCUUGUACACACCGCCCGUCAAGCCAUGGAAGCUGGGAGUGCCUGAAGUCGGUCACCGCAAGGAGCCGCCUAGGGUAAAACUGGUAACUAGGGCUAAGUCGUAACAAGGUAUCC
rnacentral:rRNA from 1 species